rnacentral:misc_RNA from 1 species
AGUUAUGAUGAUAUUCAAAUGAAACGCCGGAGAAUUGCCGAGGAACUGGAUUGACUCUCUGGGUCUAGUGGUCUCUCUCUGUCAGACGCCAAGCCCCCCUAAAUCUAGGGUUUUGUUUUCAUCCACUCUUUUUCAACUGGAAACAUAGAAAUUAAUAUCCAUCUGAAGGAAUUAGAAGACAUGCAGUCAAACUCUGAAAGUGCAUAUCGACGGGAACCAGACCCACAUGUCAUUCAACCAAAUGCAGUUCAUUCUGAGCCUUGGUGGCGCAGUUUUGGAUAUAAUACCGUGCC